GAAAUGCGAUAAGUAAUGUGAAUUGCAGAAUUCAGUGAAUCAUCGAAUCUUUGAACGCACCUUGCGCUCCUUGGUAUUCCGAGGAGCAUGCCUGUUUGAGUGUCAUGGAAUUCUCAACUCUAUUUGCUUUUGUGAAUAGAGCUUGGAUUUGGAGGUUUAUUGCUGGUACUUGUGAUCGGCUCCUCUUGAAUGCAUUAGCUCGAACCUUUGCGGAUCAACUAUCGGUGUGAUAAUUGUCUACGCCGUUGCAGUGAAGCAUAUCAAUGGGCUCGGCUUCCAAUCGUCCUUUACUGGACAAUGACUGUGACCUUUGACCUCAAAUCAGGUAGGAUUACCCGCUGAACUUAAGC
rnacentral:misc_RNA from 1 species